UACAGAGGUCCCGAGCGUUGUUCGGAUUCACUGGGCGUAAAGGGUGCGCAGGUGGGUUUGCAAGUUUGAUGUGAAAGCCCCGGGCUUAACCCGGGAAUGGCAUUGAAUACUGCAGAUCUGGAGGAUUGGAGGGGGGACUGGAAUUCUUGGUGUAGCAGUGAAAUGCGUAGAUAUCAAGAGGAACACCAGUGGCGAAGGCGAGUCCCUGGACAAUACCUGACACUGAGGCACGAAAGCCAGGGGAGCGAACGGG
rnacentral:rRNA from 1 species